rnacentral:rRNA from 1 species
GACGAACCGUCCAAACGUUAUUCGGAAUCACUGGGCUUACAGAGUUCGUAGGCGGUCUGGAAAGUUGGGUGUGAAAUCCCUCGGCCUAACCGAGGAACUGCGCUUGAAACUACCAGACUCGAGGGGGAUAGAGGAAAGCGGAACUGAUGGUGGAGCGGUGAAAUGCGUUGAUAUCAUCAGGAACACCGGUGGCGAAGGCGGCUUUCUGGGUCUUACCUGACGCUGAGGAACGAAAGCCAGGGUAGCAAACGGG